rnacentral:tRNA from 1 species
UGGGAUGUAGCUCAGUGGUAGAACUCUUGCCUGACAUGCAUGAGGUUCUGGAUUUGAGCCCCAGCACUGCAA